UUUUCAUUAUCAGCCAACCUAAGUACUUUUAUAAGAGGCCCUAUAGCUUUAAGAGCAUAAACAAUAUGAUCCCAAAAUGAGACUUGAAGAACAAUAGAAGUUGCCUUCCUACCAUUGGCUUCGUCACUGACCUUUAAAUCCGACCACUCUUGAGAAGUGAACAUGGUUAUAAUUUUUUGUUUUAGGUUGUGCAACAUUUGCAAUUGAAGAAAGUUUGUUGCAAACCUUGUGACUCAAUGUCUAAUCAACUCACUUUCAGCUUUCUCCCUCAACAAAUUCAAAACCAAAGAAUGGUUAUAGAUGAAACCGACAAGACUUAUUCCUUGUAAUACAACCUUCUUUAUCUUUGGAAUCUUACCAAUCUCUUCUAGUAUUAAAUCUAUACAAUGUGCAACACAUGGAGUCCAAAAGAUUUUAGGUCUUGCAGCUUGAAGAAAUUU
rnacentral:lncRNA from 1 species